UACUAUACUAAUAAAUAUUAAUUACCUAGAUUAUUAGUAGAUAUUUUCUUUAAAUUCAAAUAAUUUGGCGGUAAUUUAGUCUUGUUAGAGGAACCUGUUUUUGAAUCGAUAUACCACGUAAAAUUUUACUCAUUUUAUUUAGUUUAUAUACCGUCAUUAGUAGAUAAUUUUUAAAAAAUUAAUUAUUAAGGUUUAAAAAAAGUUAAGCUAAAUUAGAUCAAGGUGUAGCCUAUGUAUGAGUUAAAAUGGGUUACAAUAAAAUUUAUUUAUAACGGAAUGGUUGUAAGAAAUGAUACUAUAGAAGGAGGAUUUAAUUGUAAUAUGAUUUUAAUAAGUUGAAAAGAUAUAAGCUCUAAAUUAU
rnacentral:rRNA from 1 species